rnacentral:siRNA from 1 species
AAUGUUAUUCAAGUACCGUGAACA